UGAGGAAUAUUGGGCAAUGCCCGCAAGGGUGACCCAGCAACGCCGCGUGGAGGAUGAAUGUCGUAAGAUUGUAAACUCCUGUUAGAGGGGAAGAAUAGUACCGGUUGGACCGGUAUAUGACUGCACCCUCAGAGAAAGCCCCGGCUAACUACGUGCCAGCAGCCGCGGUAAUACGUAGGGGGCAAGCGUUGUCCGGAUUUACUGGGUGUAAAGGGCGCGCAGGCGGGAUAAAAAGUCAGUGGUGAAGUCCUACAGCUUAACUGUAGAACUGCCUUUGAUACUUUUACUCUUGAGUUCGGGAGAGAGAGACGGAAUUCCAGGUGUAGUGGUGAAAUACGUAGAUAUCUGGAAGAACACCAGUUGCGAAGGCGGUCUCUUGGUCCGACACUGACGCUGAGGCGCGAAAGCGUGGGGAGCAAACA
rnacentral:rRNA from 1 species